GUUUACAGACUCGACUAGGAACCACGAGGUUGCGGGUUCGAUCCCUGGCCUCACUCAGUGGGUUAAGGAUCCAGCGUUGCUGUGAGCUGUGGUAUAGGUCGCAGACGUAGCUUGGAUCCUGUGUUGCUGUGGCUGUGGUGUAGACCGGUAGCUGUUGCUCCGAUUAGACCCCUAGCCUGGGAACCUCCAUAUGCUGCAGGUGUGGCCCUAAAAAAAAGAAAGAAAAAAAAAGAAGUUGCUCUAAAGUGAUGGCCCAGAACAUCCCUCUCCUCCCCCCACCGCUUGCGUCUCUGGGAGAGGAAGAAGGGUGAGGGGUUCUUUGGGUGAUCCCUUGAGGGGAGAUAAAGAGGCAGCUGCAGAGCACAGAGCAGGAAACAAUCAUUCAGUAGGUGUGGAAAGGGCUGUGAGAAUGGAAUCUGCUGUGCCACCUCAGGCAUCUUGGGGACAGUUGAACCUUCCACGCAUCCUUCCAGAAGGGUCUGCCUGGACAAGGGAUCUGAGUCAGUACCUCCUAGACCUCCAGGAGCCAAAAGAUGCCAGCCAAUCCUGGGCUGGCUGCAGGACUCUGCCUCAGUGUUGCGGGGCUUUCAAGGGUGUUGGGGUCCAUGUGGGCAGCAUGGCCAGGUGCGCCACAUCUGGAAGUGUGCCCAGGGCAUUCGAGCUAACACAGGCACCCAGAACUUGCAAACACUCAGUUCCCAAAGCGGAGUCUUGCGCCUCAUAGGUCCCCAGCGCCCCCCUAGUUCCUUUUCCAGUAAAGCUCCGAUUGUGCCAAAGGAGCGCACUGCAAUGCCGUGCUUCCAACUGGGUGUCUUUGCUCUGUUGCUGAUAAUCCUCUCUCAUGGAUAAUGAACACAUCAUUCACUAAUUAGCACCCCAGAAAACAUAUGUUUUUCUUCUUUCUGGUUGAUCUUGGGAAAUAGAGAUCACUGAGUAGCUAAACUGAUCGUGUGUGUGUGUGUGUGUGUGUGUGUGGGUGUGUGUUGGAUGGGUGGGUCGAAUCNCGGGAGGGCAAGGAGGCAGCCAAGAACAAUUUUUUCUUUUUUUGUCUUUUCAGGGCCACACCUGCGGCAUAUGGAAAUUUCCAUGCUAGGGGUGGAAUCAGAGCUGUAGUCGCCGGCCUACACCAGAGCUCACAGCAAUUCCAGAUCUUUAACCCACCGAGUGAGGCCAGGGAUCGAACCUUCAUCCUUAUGAAUACUAGUUGGGUUUGUUACUGCUGAGCCACGACAGGCACUCCCAGCCAAGAGCAAUUCUAUUCAAAAUCUACCCCACCCACUGCAGCUUACUGCCCAGCACAGGCUAACUAGCAGGGGUUAGGCUUUCAAUAGUCCUGGCUGUGGUUGUCUCUGCUCUUCGGGGCCACUGGAGGGUUGGGACCAAAAUCAAUCUCUGUGGUGGUAGAGUGAAGGGGGGCAGAGGGUUCUGGAAAAGAAGAAGCUUUAGAGCAUCCCUUUGAUACUGGCCGCAGGAGGACGAGAUCUCAGCUGGAUGUGAAAUAGACGUUGUAAUCUGGGCCAGACUCCUUAAUACGUACAUGAGUUUCCUGGGAUGACAUCAAAACCUGAAAAGCACUGCACAGUGGCAGCUGGGAUUUUUUUAAGGCAAUUCCAUGUCUGCACCCCCAGCGUGUCCAGACUGUUCAAUGAAGCAGUUGUAUCAUUAUAGGCGUUCAUGUGGACAAUUGUAGAAAACACUUGUGUGUAGAAAACUGGAAAUAAAAAUCAGGCUAGGUUAUUCACGUUUCUGUGAAUAACCGUACGGUUUUCUUUCUUUUUUUUUCUUUUUUGUUUUGUCUUUUUGUCUUUUUGCCUUUUCCAGGGCCGCUUCCCGAGGCAUAUGGAGAUUCCCAGGCUAGGGGUCGAAUCGGAGCUGUAGCCGCCGGCCUACACCACAGCCACAGCAAUGCGGGAUCUGAGCCGCGUCUGCAACCUACACCACAGCUCACGGCAAUGCCAGAUCCUUAACCCACUGAGCAAGGCCAGGGAUCGAACCCUCACCCUCAUGGUUCCCAGUCAGAUUCGUUAACCACUGAGCCACGACGGGAACUCCUCGUAAGGUUUUCAAUGCAGGUCCUUUGUAACUUUUUAUUUGGAUGCCAUUUCAAACUUGCAGAAAAGUUGCAAAAAGAGUACAAGGUGCUCCCAACUACGCUUCCCCCAGAUUCACCAACAGUUCACAUUUUGCCCCAUUUAUUUUUCUCUUUCUUCUCCCUUUAUUUUUUCUUUUUCUCUAUCUAUAUAUACAUAUAAUAUAUAUGCACAUAUAUUAUAAUAUAUAUGGGGAGAGUUAUUUUAUAACAUGUACCUAUUUUCUAAUAUCUUUAUAAAUACACCCAGUGUUAUUGUGACUAUUAAAAUAAUAAUGCAUUUUAACAAUAUACUUCUAUAUUAUAGACAGAUAAUUUCUGUAAUCUUUGAGACUAAUUUGGAGAUAAUCAUGCCCUUAACCUCUAAAUACUUCUGUCUACUUUCUAAGAAUAAGGUAGUUCUUUUUCAUAUCCACAGUGCACUAUCAAAAUCAGGAGAUACAGCACUGAAACUAUUAUCUAAUCCGCAGUCCAUAUUCCAGCGCAAUCAAUUGUCCUAAUAAUCUUCUUUAUUGUAAUUUUUUCCUGGCUCAGCAGCCAAUCCAGGAUGUCACGUUACAUUUAGUUUUCACGUCUCUCUAGUUUCCCUUCAUCUUUAUUGUCUCUGACCUUAGCAUUUUAAAAUACAGGCCAGGAGUUCCCAUCACGGCUUAGUGAUAACAAACCCAACUCAUAUCCACGAGGACACAGGUUUGAUCCUUGGUCUCAAUCAGUGGGUUAAGGAUCCAGCAUUGCCAUGAGCUGUGGUGUAGGUCACAGAUGUGACUCAGAUCUGGCGUGGCUAUGACUGUGGUAUCAGCCAGCAGCUAUAGCUCCUAGCCUGAGAAUGUCCGUGUACUGUGGGUUCGAGCCUAAAAAGACAAAAAAAAAAAAAGCCAGUUAACUUAUAGGAAAUCCCUCAGUCGGAGUGACCUGAGGUUUCCUCGUGAUUCCAUUCAGGUUACACAUUUUUUCAUACAAAUGCCCCAGAAAUGAUGUGUAUUCUCAGUACAUCCUCUCAGGAUGCACACGACGUGGGCUUGUCUCACUAUUAGCAAUGUUAACCUUCAUCCCCCAGGGAUGGUUAGAAAAUUGGGGAUUGCACAGGGCAUGCUGUCUCAUAAACUGCUCUUUCCUUGGAGUUCCCAUUGUGGUGCAACGGAAAUGAAUCCGACUAGGAACCAUGAAGGCUGCGGGCUCAAUCCCAGACCUCACUCAGCGGGUUAAGGAUCCGGUGUUGCCUGUUGCCCUGAGCUGUGAUGUAGGUCUCAGACGCAGCUCGGAUCCUGCAUUGCUGUGGCUGUAGUGUAGGCCGGCAGCUAUAGCUCCGAUUUGACCCCUAGCCUGGGAUCCUCCAUAUGCGCAGGUGCGGCCCUAAAAAAUAAAGAAAUAAAUGUUCUUUCCUUUAACAAUCUAUUACAUUGUGUGGUAUGUUUUAAAUAUCCUUUCUUGGAAUUAUCUUAAGAGAUGCACCAUUUUCCACUGUCACCUCAUAUUUACUUGUUACAACUACUAUUGUUUUGCCCAGUUUCUCCUGCCAUGAGCCUUGUGACAUGGAAUAUUUUUAUAAAUACUUCUUUUUUUGUAUAUCAAGGAUUAUUUCCUGAGGGUAAAGCCCUAGAGUUGAAAUUGACAAAGGGGAUGAAUAUUGUUAAGGAUAAAAAGUGCCAUUCUAGGGGCCCUGUCCUCACAAGCAUUGUUCAAACUUACACUUCCCAGUCUCUCUACAUGGGGUUUUGCCAUUUCCUCACAUCUUUCCUGGCAAUAAUAUAAUGGGUUAUUUUCCCUUUUAUGGCCACACCCGCAGCAUCUGGAAGUUACUGGG
rnacentral:lncRNA from 1 species